rnacentral:misc_RNA from 1 species
CUCGUUCUGCUCACAGACUUGUCUUCUUUGCCCUGUAAAUGCCUUUUAAUUGGUGUGCACUAUCGCCAAUUUUACUCGCAAAAACCCUAACUCGAUCUACUACUUCUAACUUGACUCACUGUGUUCCCCUUCUCAACUCUUCAUAGCAAUGAGCCGAAUUAGGAGAAUCGAGAUCCCCGAACCUUACUACCCCUCCAUCUAUGUUAGCGAAGUCUCCAUUUUCACUCCCAAGAUACCAGCUUUUCCCUCAUUUGUAAUUGAAGAGGAACCCGAUGAUCACAGUGUUGCUCUUGAUCUUUUAAGCCCCAAGCCCAACCCCUUUGAGCUCUUCGACUCGGUGUCGAAUCUAAUCCAAAUUGAGAAAGCGCCGUCUUUUUGCUCCUACAAGAGGAUCCAGACACGAGGCGGGACCGAAAUGUGCUUGCAGACCCUAUGUGGUCGAGUCAGCAGUCUUGAGUCAAGGUUUGACAGCUUGAUCA